rnacentral:rRNA from 1 species
GAUGAACGCUGGCGGCGUGCCUAAUACAUGCAAGUCGAGCGAACAGAUAAGGAGCUUGCUCCUUUGACGUUAGCGGCGGACGGGUGAGUAACACGUGGGUAACCUACCUAUAAGACUGGAAUAACUCCGGGAAACCGGGGCUAAUGCCGGAUAACAUGUUGAACCGCAUGGUUCUACAGUGAAAGGCGGCUUUGCUGUCACUUAUAGAUGGACCCGCGCCGUAUUAGCUAGUUGGUGAGGUAACGGCUCACCAAGGCAACGAUACGUAGCCGACCUGAGAGGGUGAUCGGCCACACUGGAACUGAGACACGGUCCAGACGCCUACGGGAGGCAGCAGUAGGGAAUCUUCCGCAAUGGGCGAAAGCCUGACGGAGCAACGCCGCGUGAGUGAUGAAGGUCUUCGGAUCGUAAAACUCUGUUAUUAGGGAAGAACAAAUGCGUAAGUAACUGUGCGCGUCUUGACGGUACCUAAUCAGAAAGCCACGGCUAACUACGUG